ACUCCCAAAGGCCUCCCGGCCCGGAGGCCACACCCUCUGCCGGAAGCUCCCCUAGCCUGGUCCUCUGCCGGACUGAGUCUAGCCGCCACCAGAAACCUCGCUCAGUCGGCGGAGGGGCCGUGUGGCCGGCCGAGGCUGGGCUGCGGUCUGUCCAGCAGCCCUGCGACCGGGAGAGGAAGAGAGGAAGGCGCCGGCGCUCCGCAGCUCAGCCGCGCCUCCGCGUGAGGACGCGAAGGCAGAGGGCACCCGGGCCGGUCUCUGCGCGGACUGCCUCCCAGGGUCUCGGGAGUCGGGAGUAUUGAAAGUGCAGCUAAAGCCACCAGCGGCGGGUGCCAAGGAAGGAGAGGUCGUUUCAGGCGGUGGAAGAGAAGCAGGUUUGUUGAGGACGGAACACGAGCCUUGCUGACUGCCCGAGACCAAGCCCCGGCUCUGCGUGGCGUUCACAACCCCCCCCCCCCCCCCCNCCCCUGCGCUGAGCACCUGCUGUGGGCUGUCGCGGAGACAGACUGACCAGACAGACCCCUGCUGUCGUGGAACUUGCAUUCUCUUAAGAUGGCCGAGAGCUCACAGCCACAGACCACCGCAAACUGCCCAGAGGUAGGCAGAGGCGUCAUUUCUGAGAGCAGCCAGGGAAGCCCCGAGCUUAUCAGAUUAUUCACGUCGGCCCUUGGGUUUAGGUGGAUCUAGAAGGACAAGGGAUAAGGUUUUAACCUGGGGACCCAGAGGCCUACCAGCUUCUCGUGGGAGCGCCCAGUCAUCUUACUCCCGCUAGAACUGCGCUGCCUCAUCGUUGCCUGGACCACCAGCGGAUGACACUUGGGGUGCUAUCCUCUUACCCCCUCCAGAUCCUGCCCUCCCUUAACGUCAGAGAAUCCUGUCCGUGCUCUUAGACAUCUCAGUCAACAACCAUACGGCGGACCUUGUCACCUCUCACAGUUAGCUAGCUCCCAAACCCGAGGCUCCUACUUUCUGCCUUACCCACUCUCUCCCAAAAACUUGUUAGACCUCAUUGAGAUCUCCUAGUCUUGUUUUGGCAUUUCCUUCACAGUCAGGUGAGAUGUUUGCUCAUCAUAAAAUUUUACCCUGGCCCACAUUUCUGAUCACUCUGCUGAAAACUUCUGGAAGUCUCUGAUGAAAUCCUUAUUGCCGGUAUUUGGCACUCUCAAUAACCUCACCUUCUUAAAACCCUAUUGUCGGUCUAGUUUUCUUGCUUCCUCUUCAACCAUUCCUUCUCAGAUUCUAGACAGGGCUCUUUGAGCCCACGCUUUAGUGCUCUGUCCCGUGUUUCCUUCCUUAGUCCUCUUAUCUCUAGAUGAUAGUCUGUCCAUCCAUGGCUUUCCCCCCUGUGUCACCAACUCCAAAAAUGAUUUCCAGCCCAGCAGGGCUCUCUGGAGCCCUCGUGGCAUUUAUUCAACUGCCCCUGGUUGUUGGCUCUCACGUCUCCCACAGGUUCUUCAAACUCAACAAAUUCAGCCUGAACCCAGCUCUUCUGCAAAGCCUGCACCUCGGUGUUCUGGAUCCCUGAGGGCAACAUGGCCAUCCUCAAACACCCGGGGCAGACACCUCAUCCUUCAGCCGCACCGCGCAAGCAACGUGCGGGAACUGUCCGUGUUCCCUCUGUAGUCGCUGGAACGAAUGUAUGAGUUGUGUCAUCUCCUUCCUCGUCCCUCUCCCUCUGUCCCUGCUGGCACGUUCUUAGGUCGGGUUCUUCUCCCCCAGCUGGAGGAUGGCAGCGGUCCUUAGGAAAACUACACCGAUGUUACCUUCUGAAGGGUGGUCCUUCAAAAGCCCCACACUGCACAUGCGCAGAGUGCAGGAGGCCCCGACUCCCCUCGGUCCGCCCAGACCUUCAGAGCUCCGCCUCCAAGCCCCCCUCCCCCGUCCCCCUGCCUGUCUCCGGCUCCUUGCCAGGUGGCUACUGCGCACACACGCACACACACACACACACACACACACACACACACCUCACCCCCGCUGCUCUCUGCAGUUGCCUUCAAGGCUGGGAAGGUUUUCCUGGUCACCUGGUUUUAGCCAGUUUACAAGUUUCUCUCUUUCUUUUCCCUGAUGGUACAUGUCAGACGAUGUUUAUUUAUUCUCUCACAAUAUUUACUGAAUGCCUACCCUUUGUCAGGAAUGAUUCCACUUGCUGGAGACAGUUUCUUCUCAAGCGUACGCCGUUAGCUGGGAAACAGACAAAAACUAGAUGAUAUGGCAGGCAGUGUUUCUGUGCCAGCAGGAAAAUAAAGUAGGUCAAGCGGACAGGGAGGAACGGUAUGGAAGCAGGUGCUGGUGGGGCAGGUGGAAGCAGGGCGCAGGUGGGGCAGGUGGAAGCGGGGCGCAGGUGGAGGCAGGUGGAAGCGGGGCGCAGGUGGGGCAGGUUGGUUAGACAGCCUGUCUGGUAGGUCGUAUUCGAGCGGAGAAAUGAUGAGGUGGAAGAACAAGCGAGGAGCUCUCCUGGGAGGGAUGUUCCAGGGAGAAGAAACUAGCAAGUGGGGCCGGUUCUGGGGCCUGGGCAGCUGGGUCCCCCUAGUCUCCUCACAAACGUUCCUUGUGUGUCUGGAUUUCUCUCCGUAACAACAGCAGUGCCAUCCACUCAUUAACACCAGGUGCCAGGACUCUCGGGGUGCGUGGUCUUAUCCAUUCCUUAAAUAUCACAGGGACCGUCUGAGGGAGGUAUUACUGUUCUCCAUUCUACGGCUGAGGAACUGAGGCUCAGAUAGGUUAAGUAAUUUUUCUUAAACUAGAUUUUUACUUAAAAAGCCAUACACACUCCCAGGAAAAGUCAAGCAUUACAGAAGGCCGGCCAUGGAAAGCCUGGGUCUUCCUUCUGUCUUCUCACCCCAUCCCUUUGUCCCCCUCUCCAGGAGUCUCCACAAUUAACAAUUUCUUGGGUGACCCUUUUGAUGCUUUCCAUGCGUCUGCAAGCAUAUAUAUCUAGGAUAAAUGUCUUUUUCUGCAAAUGGGACCAUUCUGUACGUACCAUUCUGCAACUUUUUUAACCCAACAGUGGUGUCGUCCGUGCACCUGCAACAUGUCGCGCUCUGUCCUCAGCCCCAGGGACACAGUGGUGAGGAGGAAAAUCCCCUGGCUCUCGGGGCCCACCUGACCCGCCAUGUUGCUGCGUGCAGAGGUUCCCCUGCCCGAUGGCCUCACCCAGGGUGUAGAGAGGGUUGCCAAGGUUUUUCCAAGACCAAUACUCCAUGAACAGCCUGCGUACUUUGCAACAUAUAUCAUAUGUUUCUAAAAUUAAAAUGGCAUGUCAUUGAAAACACAUAAAUGUCGGAUUACUGCCCUGAAAGCCUGUCUUGAAUUACACUUCCUUUUUUUAAAAUAAGAUUUUAUUUAUUUGAGAGAGAGAGAGAGCAUGGGGGGGGGUGAGGAGCAGAGGGAAAAACAGACCCUCUGCUGAGCAGGGAGCCUGAUGUAGGGCUCAAUCCCAGGACGCCAAGAUCAUGACCUGAGCCGAAGGCAGACGCUUAACCCACUGAGCCCCCCAGGCGCCCCUCACAUUAUACUCCCUCCUUCGGUGGAGGAGGGAGCAGUUUUCUGCACUCUGGUUAGUAGUAGACAUCUCUAUUUCAAUGAUUUACAAUUAUGAAAAAAGUUUUUUAAAGGAAGAAUAUUGAAUUUUAUAGGUGCCAUGUGGCAUCUUUUGAGAUAAUCACAUGUUUUCUGAUGUUCGUCCUUUGACCUGUCAAUACGGGGCAUUUUGUGAUUGGAUUCACCAAUAAUAAGCCAUGCUUGUAGCUUUGUAAUGAACCCCAGAGGGUCAUGAUGGGGUCAAGGUCUUGCUGCAUUUGGUUUCUAUAUAAUUUUGUGUAGGAUUUUUGUGAAUAGGCUUUAUUUUUAGAGCAGUUUUUAGGUUCAUAGCCAAACUGAGCAGAAGGUGCAGAGAUUCCCCGUGUACCCCUAUUCCCACACAUGCACACCCCCCCAUCAUCAGCAUCCCCCACCAGAGUGGGACGUGUGUUGCGGUGGAUGAACCCACCCAUCGCCGUCUCCCAGAGUCCACAGCUGACACCAGGGCUCACUGUGCGGUCUAUGGCUUUGGACAAACGUGUGGCAUGCGUCCGCCACUGGAGUAGGAUAGAGUCGCGUCACUGCCCUAAAGCCCCUCCGUGCUCCUCCUAUUCAUCUUUCCGUCCCCCCAGCGCCUGACAGGCACGAUCUCUUCACAGUCUCCGUAGUGUUGCCUUUUCCAGGGUGAUAUGUAGGGGUUUGCAUCAAAAUUCCUAAGGGAUAUUGUUCUGUAGUUUUCUUGUGCGUGCCGUCUGCCUGGUUUGUGUGUCUGUGUUAAGCUGCCUCUCUGAAAAGAUCGGGAGUCUUGCUUCCGUCCCCAUGUGUUCCGGAACAGUUGAAGUGGCAUUGGGACAAUACAGUCCUUAGGUUCUGAAAGUGUCCACCCUGAAGUUGACAGGCCAUUGCGCUCCUGCCCUAUUCUGUCGUGUUUCCCGGUGUCUUCACGGGCCGUGGGGGUGGGCGGGUUCUGUUUUUUCCCCCUCUGUCUCUGGAGAGGCAGUUUCUCUCUCUCUCUCUCUAUCCUCACUCUGCUAUUUUCCACCCCUUUCGCCUGUCCCGAUCUCUCCUCUCCCUCUCUCCUUUAUUUCGCACACCUGUCUCUCCGUUACGAUAGAACCGACCUCAUCUUGAAGAUUCACGAAGCAGCGUGAGCAAAGCCCCUGUCACAGCACGGGUCUUGGUUAGAAUUCCCUCUCCUGUCUCUACCUUGUUCUCUUUCCUUCCUCAUGCUCUGCCGCCCCUCAUCUCUCCCUUCCCAAUCACACCUGUCCUCCGCGCCCAGCCUCCGGGGGCUCUCCCCACCUCUGCCUGCACCUCUGUCCCUGCCUCUCCUUCCCUGUCUUUCUCCAGCCUUCCUCUGCCUCAGCCUCCCUCCGCAGGGCAGUGUGCUGCCCUGUGGCUGCUGCCUGCCCCUCUCUCUGGCCGCGGGGCAGAGCAAUGCUGUCCGGCCUCUGCAGGGCAGGUGACGCUUCCUCCUGGCCGUCUGCCCCUCUCUCCCUGGGGCAGCACCUGGCUAUACGUCCCCAUGCUGCGGAGAGCUGCGGGCCACCAAGGACGCGUGCCCGGCGUUUGCCCAGGUGAGUCCUCGGGGAGCCCGGCUGCACGCGUGGAGAGGUGGGCUGGAACUGGGGGGCAGGACGCUCCCCUUCUUCUGUUUCUUCCUCCACUGCCCACAGACAGCCCCUGCUGGGCUUGACUCUGGUAGUUAAAAAAGAGGGCUACCCAGUUAAGACAGCUAAGGACCAGUGCAGGGAAGGGUCUUUCGUGGGGGCUUCGGACUUCCGUGAAGGAGCCAGGCUCAGCUGGGGAUGCUGGGACAAAGUCAGGAAGGAGAACCAAAUAUUCCCGCAUAUAUCCUGUGGGACUGUCCGAGCUACAGGGUCAGGCCGUGAGGCCAGACCCCAGCUCUUCUCUCGAAGGGUCUUCGAGAGCUCCUCAUGAACCCCGAGACUCAGUGGAGCCUGGCUGCCAGCUGGGCCCUCGUCCAGAAGCUCCUGCAGGUCCUUCAGGCCCUGAGCUCUUGCUUUUUGUCCUUGGACUCUGCCUCAAGACGUGCUCUGUCGCAAGGCCUCGCAUCCCUGGACUUCUCGCGAGGCUUGGCUGUCUGCGCGUUCUCACAGCUCAGCGGGGUGUGAGACCCUCCGCGGGGCCCUGAACUCACCUCCCUGGCUUGGGCGGGAUGGGGGCAGGCAGGGAGCACGCUCACACCGCUCUAGAGAAGCUGAGAACACAUCCUGGGGGCAGCCUUCCCACAGGAAACCCCACCACCCGAGCCCAGGGCCUCUGCCUUAAGGACAAUGUGAUUUCAGGGGAGACAGACAUUUCCUGAUCAUUAAUGUAUAAGAAACAAAGGCCACGAGAGAAGAACAAUUAAUAGGGCUGGAGGGCGAAGGAAAAGGUGACAUAACCCUCCACAGGCAGGCUCCUGAAGGAAGGCUUCCUGGAGGAGGUGGCAUGUGAGCCCUGCAGGACAGGCAGGUUCUUUUUUUUUUUUUUUUAAGAUUUUAUUUAUUUAUUUAACAGAGACAGCCAGCAAGAGAGGGAACACAGCAGGGGGAGUGUGAGAGGAAGAAGCAGGUUCCCAGUGGAGGAGCCCGAUGUGGGGACUCGAUCCCGGAACGCUGGGAUCACGCCCUGAGCUGAAGGCAGACGCUUAAGGACUGUGCUACCCAGGCGCCCCAGGACAGGCAGGUUCUUGACAGGGAGGUAGGAGGUUAUGCACAGGAGGAGGACUUAACCUUUAGACCCCAGAGGUCACCAUGCUCCUGAAUUUGACUUGAGAAAUUCUUGUGGCCGUCUCUGGUCCCUGAAAUGACACAGGGGUGAAGGGGGGGUGGAGGGCAGGAACCGGGAGGGUGAAGCACACUGGGCCUCCCCUGGGAGGGGAUCUGCCCCGGAGGGAGAGCGCUCCCUCUGGGGCUUCAUUCGGCCUCUCCCCUCUUCUCUCCUGCUGGCCUUGUGCCCACAUGAGCUCCCUCUCCAGCGCUCCUCGGGCAGCAGCUUCCUGGGUCGGUGGGAGCUGGGAUUGUCAGUGGCCCUGCAGUCCAGCCGUGCUGCUUGCCCUCCCCGGACCCCCGGGGGCCAGAGCCCCAGCAGGGAGGGAAGGUGGAGUCGGGGCUUGCCGGAGCUGGCCACGGACUCAUACCCCGUAGAAGGAAAACCACAGAAGUGGACCGGCAGAGUUGUCUGUUGCUGUGUAACAAGUCAUCCCACAAGUUAGAGCCUAACACCAGCGUGUGUUACGUCACAGCGUCCAGGGCUCAGGAACCAGGCGCGGCCUCGUCAGCGGCUUCCACCUCGGGGUAUGUUCGAGGCUGCCCUCAGCCUGUCGUCACCAAGGCUCCACGCGGACAGGAUCCACGCACAAGCUCCCCCGAUGAGCCCCUCGUGGUCCAGUCUUGGGAGUGAAGGAGCAGGAAGGAAAAUCUGAGAAGGAGGUGUAGGGCCCUGGCACCCUGGCCACACAGACAAGGCUUGAACCACAGAUGGCUCCACAUCUGGACCGAACGCCUUGUGAUGUUCCCAGAGCACGACAGCGUGGGAGGAGCUGGCUCCCUGUCCCCGGGGCUGUCCUGCCACAGGCGUGUCACCUGCAGGCUCUGAUGAGGCCUUAGCCAGGGCGGGCAGCGGCCCUCGCCGGAGGGGCCCCGUCUUCCACGUCGUGGUCAUCUGUCCACUUCUUCACCCUGCACGAGGGCCCUGAAAGCUGGCGCCCUUGGCUACUCUUCCUUUCGUCAUCUGUUUCGCAGGAGUGCCGUCCUGACCUUGGAAUGUGCAACCUUCAGAGGUAGUCCCCGGCGCAGCAUCAGAGUCUGAAGACGUGUUCCUUGCUCACGUCUUGGUUUCCAGCGUGGCGAGAGAGCGCGUGGGAGCGCCUUAGUGUCCGUCACACGCGCGGCCGUCUCAUGAUCGGCCCUGCCGGCCCGCCGUGCCUCUUCAGUUUCCGUAUUUUUAUUUUGAAACUCAGGCCGUAUAGUCGUACCUUCUGCUAGUCUUACAUUCAUCAGCAGACGUUCAAAAGUGACUUUUGGGUCGUAAGCAGAGGGACAGUGUUGAGCAAGCAGCUGUAUUCAUCGUCGUGCUUCGCCGCCUAGCUUAGCCCUUGGCCGCUGUUGGGAAUUUCAUCCCACGUAGAUGCGAGAGGCGUGCGGUCUGUUUGCACUGAGAUGCUUUCGAUGUCCGCGUACUGUAGCUCUCAUUUGAUAUAUAUUUCGAUAUUUAUAAAUCUUUGUGGGUGAACUGCCUUGAUGGCAUUUAAUCUUGAUCCCCAUGCGGUAUCUGUAUGUGUUUUUAAUGUUGGUUUUAAAACAGACAUCAGAAUAUCCCACCUGCUUGUUCAUUUUUUUUGAAAUCACAAGAAAAUAUAUGUGUCUAAAUCCUCUAUACAGUGCUAAAGGAGCUGAUGAAAUUUGAUUUCAUACAAGGGGCAUUUUUGCACGUGAAGAUUAGGAGCUGAGGAAGGCACAAAUUUGACACAACCAUAUUCCGGGGGAAAUAAUGGUGUAUGCACUCUUGUUUAAUUUGCCAUCCUUGCUCCCUUGUUACAUCCCUGGCCAUGAGCAUUUUUUAUAUCAACUCUCUUUCCAACCUCUACUCUCCUAACCUAGACCUAGGAAGCUUUUUCUUCUAUUUCGAUAGAGUUAGUGCACGUUAUUUUAUCGUCGUGGCAUUACUCUUCAUGCGGGCAGCCCUCAUAGUCUGACAGUUGUUCACAGUGGGCACAAUCAGAG